rnacentral:rRNA from 1 species
CCUACGGGUGGCAGCAGUGAGGAAUAUUGGUCAAUGGGCGAGAGCCUGAACCAGCCAAGUCGCGUGAAGGAUGACGGCCCUACGGGUUGUAAACUUCUUUUGUCAGGGAGCAAUUGGGUCCACGCGUGGGCUUAGCGAGAGUACCUGAAGAAAAAGCAUCGGCUAACUCCGUGCCAGCAGCCGCGGUAAUACGGAGGGGGCAAGCGUUAUCCGGAUUUACUGGGUGUAAAGGGAGCGUAACCGGCGCUGCAAGUCCGGAGUGAAAGCCCAGGGCUUAAACAUGGUACUGCUCUGGAAACUGUGGAGCUUGAGUGCGGGAGGGGCAGGCGGAAUUCCUAGUGUAGCGGUGAAAUGCGUAGAUAUUAGGAGGAACACCGGCGGCGAAGGCGGCCUGCUGGACCGUAACUGACGUUGAGGCUCGAAAGCGUGGGGAGCAAACAGGAUUAGAUACCCGGGUAGUC